GUUCCUGGUGUCACUGUCAAUAUCAGCCAUAUGGACACUAGGGUUGUCGUAACUUUCUUUCAAUAACAAACUUUUCGGCUAUAUAGAGGCCUUUUUUCAUUAUGGUUUGUUGAAUUAAACUAUCAUUGUAGCUCAGUACAUUAACGUUUCGGUAUUUUUCUGGUUCAUUAGAUUGUCUAGAGGUGGCAAAAUGGGUUGGUUGGUCUGGCUAAACGUGUCAACACGUGUGAGAGGUUUUCUCCGGCAAGCAUUUACUGGGGUGGAUCUUGUGAUUAUACCUGCUGGUGGAUCGCGCAUUGAUGAUCGGUCAUUUGAAACUGGAUGAACUUGGUACUGAUUUUGGUGGUUGCAUUUUAACCUUUCGCAGAUUUGUCGUGUUGAAGACAUAGCUGUGGAUGGCACAGUUAAAGGGAGUAUCAUUCAGAUACAGAUACACAGAGCAAUGAGUGUCAUUGUCAGCACAGAAGGCAUGAUAACCGCUUCCGAGUUAGGAAAACAUUCUUCAAUAUGUCAAAAGUCAAGCUCCUAUCACAACCGCUAAAGCACAACCGCUAACAAUGAUGAUGCGACUACCAGUUGUGAUAAUAAUAAAAUAAACUAGCGUAAACUGGUUGACGUCUAUAACUCUCCAACUUCAAGGAUUCGGAGAAAGUUAGCAAGAAAGAGGUUGAGCUUUGUAUAUCUACGAAUUGAAAAUUAGUUUUUAUGUU